rnacentral:rRNA from 1 species
GAACGCUGACAGAAUGCUUAACACAGGCAAGUCUACUUGAUCCUUCGGGUGAAGGUGGCGGACGGGUGAGUAACGCGUAAAGAACUUGCCUUACAGACUGGGACAACAUUUGGAAACGAAUGCUAAUACCGGAUAUUAUGAUUGGGUCGCAUGAUCUGGUUAUGAAAGCUAUAUGCGCUGUGAGAGAGCUUUGCGUCCCAUUAGUUAGUUGGUGAGGUAACGGCUCACCAAGACGAUGAUGGGUAGCCGGCCUGAGAGGGUGAACGGCCACAAGGGGACUGAGACACGGCCCUUACUCCUACGGGAGGCAGCAGUGGGGAAUAUUGGACAAUGGACCAAAAGUCUGAUCCAGCAAUUCUGUGUGCACGAAGAAGUUUUUCGGAAUGUAAAGUGCUUUCAGUUGGGAAGAAGUCAGUGACGGUACCAACAGAAGAAGCGACGGCUAAAUACGUGCCAGCAGCCGCGGUAAUACGUAUGUCGCAAGCGUUAUCCGGAUUUAUUGGGCGUAAAGCGCGUCUAGGCGGCUUAGUAAGUCUGAUGUGAAAAUGCGGGGCUCAACCCCGUAUUGCGUUGGAAACUGCUAAACUAGAGUACUGGAGAGGUAGGCGGAACUACAAGUGUAGAGGUGAAAUUCGUAGAUAUUUGUAGGAAUGCCGAUGGGGAAGCCAGCCUACUGGACAGAUACUGACGCUA